AGUUUAUAGGUUUUUAGACCAAGAGAAUCCAUACUCAAAGAAUCAUGCAUAAGGACACUUCUCCACACUAGACCUGGUUUCAAUGACAAGGUCCUGGUCUUUGAGUUGAUGUCACAAUUAGAAGAGACUUUUGGAAUCUAGGUGAAGAGACAAGUGUAUUUUUCAAGUGGGAGGAAUUGAUGAUUUUCCUGAACGACAGGGGAGGAAACAAGAUGAGGAAUUGUGCAUGUUAACAGUAUCUACUGUCUUCAAUGUGAUGUCCUUAUAGAGGACCAGCCACAUCACACUCAGCAAAUCAAUUGUGAGAGCUCCACGAGGAAGGAAUUUACCACCAUGGGACUGCCAAUUACCCUUUCAAACCCCUGAUUGUUAAACGUUCUUCCUAACACUGAGCAGAGAGCUGCCCUUCUGCAGUGGCAAGAUUGCAUAGUGAUUAAGUGCAAGGGUUCAGAGGUUAUGCUAAGUUCUGGUCUUAGCUCCACCACUUCCAUGGAUUUGAAUCCCAUCCUUAUAGAGUAGAGGAUCGGAGCAUAUGGUGCAGAUUCAGACAAGGGCUUGCUCCAUGAGGCAAUCACUUACCCACACUUCCAAGUCACACCUACAUGGAUACUGAAAAGAUCCUCAGAGGUCUCACUCCCAUAAGGAGGCAAGAAAUGUCCGAGGUAUGUACAAGCCAAGGUGCCUCUGAAGAUGAUCACUUGAGCAGUAGCUUGGGCCAGAAAAAAUGGCCAAGACCCUGGAGACCAAUGAACUCAAGAGGACCCAGAAUGCAUCAAGGUGUUUGAUGAGUUGUGUUACAUUCAUACAGUUGAUGUUGUUAAUCUACACCAGGACUUUGUAUGUGUUCCUAAUAUAUGUCCUCUUGUUGAUUGGUCCCUCCUUCCAACCCAUGAUGUCUUGUUGAGUCUCUGUCAUUCAGUAUAGUCACAAUGGCUAACAUACUCAUUGUUGUGCACGACUCAAUUGAUCCAUGUUUCAUCAGGGUCUUCAAGAUAUUGAGAAGAAAAAAAAAUUGAAUGAGAAAGGGCCCUGUCAGACAUGUCACUUCAUUGUUUUGCAUUUUGUUUCAGUAUGUUAAUGGGAAUCCCUCCCUUCCUUGAAAUUUGUCCCUAACCAGAAUUACCAAAAAUCACCCCCUUCCCCUGUAAUGGCCCUCACACACAGCACCAGCUUUAAUAGAAGGAAAUAGCCAUUAAGCCACCAGAGUAUUUAGAUGUUCUCUCAAGAUUGGUUUAGCUGUUGUUCCAAUCAUAGCCACCCUUUGCCUUGCAGUCCCAUGGAUCAACUAAAGUUUAAGUUGCCUGAACAAGUUCCAUGCAAAUACAGCAGCAAACUGAGUAGACAAUAUUUCCUACUUUUUAUGCUAUACAUCCUCUAUGUUUGAUCUAAUCCCUUCCUUGAAGCUUCAGCAGUGGAAAAAAAGAUACUAAGGUGCAUACAAGGCUACUAAGUGCUUUGAGAGACAU
rnacentral:lncRNA from 1 species